ACAUAUAUGUAUUUAGAAUGGAGGAUGUUGACAAUGGAAUCUGGAUUGUACUUGGUUGUCAGAGAAAGGACAGAAAAUGGUCCUUUAAUCUGGAUAUGGACCUGCUGACUCCUGCCCGUCUUUUUCAUAACACUUUCCUGCCCUUUCGGAAAUGAAAACUGGCUGCUGGUUUAAGUUUUUC